AGUGAACGCUGGCGGUAGGCCUAACACAUGCAAGUCGAACGGCAGCACAGUAAGAGCUUGCUCUUACGGGUGGCGAGUGGCGGACGGGUGAGGAAUACAUCGGAAUCUACUUUUUCGUGGGGGAUAACGUAGGGAAACUUACGCUAAUACCGCAUAUGACCUACGGGUGAAAGCAGGGGAUCUUCGGACCUUGCGCGAUUGAAUGAGCCGAUGUCGGAUUAGCUAGUUGGCGGGGUAAAGGCCCACCAAGGCGACGAUCCGUAGCUGGUCUGAGAGGAUGAUCAGCCACCCUGAACUGAGACACGGUCCAGACUCCUACGGGAGGCAGCAGUGGGGAAUAUUGGACAAUGGGCGCAAGCCUGAUCCAGCCAUACCGCGUGGGUGAAGAAGGCCUUCGGGUUGUAAAGCCCUUUUGUUGGGAAAGAAAAGCAGCAGGUUAAUACCCCGCUGUUCUGACGGUACCCAAAGAAUAAGCACCGGCUAACUUCGUG
rnacentral:rRNA from 1 species